GAGUUUGAUACUGGCUCAGAUUGAACGCUGGCGGCAUGCCUUACACAUGCAAGUCGAACGGCAGCAUGAUCUAGCUUGCUAGAUUGAUGGCGAGUGGCGAACGGGUGAGUAAUACAUCGGAACGUGCCCUGUAGUGGGGGAUAACUAGUCGAAAGAUUAGCUAAUACCGCAUACGACCUGAGGGUGAAAGUGGGGGACCGCAAGGCCUCAUGCUAUAGGAGCGGCCGAUGUCUGAUUAGCUAGUUGGUGGGGUAAAGGCCCACCAAGGCGACGAUCAGUAGCUGGUCUGAGAGGACGAUCAGCCACACUGGGACUGAGACACGGCCCAGACUCUUACGGGAGGCAGCAGUGGGGAAUUUUGGACAAUGGGCGAAAGCCUGAUCCAGCAAUGCCGCGUGUGUGAAGAAGGCCUCGG
rnacentral:rRNA from 1 species